GACAUGUAGCUACAACGUGAUGAGGAUAGCUAGCUAAUAUUUUUCUAGCUAGCUACAGUAACUAACAUUCUUUAGGUGAUACUAACUAUAUUAGCUAGCUCAGACUAUGAAACUCUGAAAAUCAGGGUCUAAACAGCUCUCCAAUAUAUAAUUAAAGCAUGCUUUUAUAAGAACUAUACUUGCCAAUGCCAUAAUGAAGUUGUAGAAUAACGUUCCUUGUCUGUAAUUACACGGUACACUCACGAUCAAAAGCUCAAAGACAAUUACCCACGAAACCCAGGACUUUGACACUAAUAACUCCCAGGAAAGGUUUUGUGGUUGGCUUCUAUGGUGAACAUGCUCACUCAGUCUCUGUUAAAAUCACAAUUGAAACGGUUGCGCACAGUACGUGUGGUACAGAAUCACUAUUCAAAGGUAACACAUACACCAAAUGAAUGGUGUGAUUGGUAAGAUUUUUUAUACCUUUUAAUGGGGUGAUAGGUGGCUAAUUGGUUGCACCCUCCUCUGACAAUUUUUUGGUGUUGUUGUCAAACAGCCACUUUGGUGCAGGUGAAAGGAUACAAGCCGAGGAAGACCUGAAACAUUUUGAGUAGAUGCACUGCACUCCUUUUCAAGUGUUUCCCCCCUGCUUUUCUGAAUAACAUCAAAUUAUUUGUAAAUGUAAACUGGGUUAUGAGUCUGAAAAGGUGGCUUUCUGCAAAAUGUCUCUUUAGUUAAUUAACUUCCUAACUAUUUAAAGCUAGAUUAAAAAGUGACAAAUAUAAAUAAAAUAAAUACGAAUAAAAAAGAAUAGUAUUAUUACACUAUUACCCUAUUGCUAACAAAAAACACGCAGUAGCCUGGGUAGCUCACAAACUAGAAUCAGGUCGCCUACUCCGACAAGGUUAAUUGACCAACAAUCCCACACGGGGACAGAUCGUUGACAGUACGUGCAAAUGAGCGAUAGAAAACCGAUCACGCAAAUGUCACCAUUCGGAAUAUAUAUAUAUAUAUAUAUAUAUAUAUAUAUUAAAGAUUUUGCAUGCGUCCCAUGCCGCCCCCGGCAUGAUGCCGCCCUAAAUCCGCCACUGCCACCGAGAAGUAGGAGAAGAGAUUACGACACCGAAGAGUCCGAGGAAGAAAGACAGGAGGAGCGGGUUCCAGUCACAGACCCACCAAGGGUAAACAUAACCAUGGAGGAACCAGGUGCUGAUAUAGAGGUGACUGUCAAAACUUUGGACUCCCAGAGUCGAAGUUACACUAUAGGCGGACAGUUGACAGUGAAAGAGUUCAAGGAGCACAUUGCCACUUCAGUGGACAAACAGGCUGAUCUACCAGGGCCGAGUUCUGCAGGAUGA
rnacentral:lncRNA from 13 species